rnacentral:rRNA from 1 species
GACGAACGCUGGCGGCGUGCUUAACACAUGCAAGUCGAACGAAGAGCGAUGGAAGCUUGCUUCUAUCAAUCUUAGUGGCGAACGGGUGAGUAACGCGUAAUCAACCUGCCCUUCAGAGGGGGACAACAGUUGGAAACGACUGCUAAUACCGCAUACGAUCUAAUCUCGGCAUCGAGGAUAGAUGAAAGGUGGCCUCUACAUGUAAGCUAUCACUGAAGGAGGGGAUUGCGUCUGAUUAGCUAGUUGGAGGGGUAACGGCCCACCAAGGCGAUGAUCAGUAGCCGGUCUGAGAGGAUGAACGGCCACAUUGGGACUGAGACACGGCCCAGACUCCUAUGGGAGGCAGCAGUGGGGAAUCUUCCGCAAUGGACGAAAGUCUGACGGAGCAACGCCGCGUGAGUGAUGACGGCCUUCGGGUUGUAAAGCUCUGUUAAUAGGGACGAAAGGCCUUCUUGCGAAUAGUGAGAAAGGAAU